rnacentral:lncRNA from 1 species
GGGUGUCAUGCUUUUGAUCUGAACAUCUCAGGCCUCCUUAGGGACACAAAUGAAUUCAUCUCUUCAGCACUGCCUGUAAAGGAGGGAAGAGCAAUUCUCUGUUUUGUAGAGCUAUUUUUUGGACGUGGUUUUGGACAGACACCCAAGUGUUUAGCAGUCCAUUUACUCUCUUAUUCAUUCAACAGAUAUUUACUGGCUGCCUACUCUGUACCAAAGAGCGAACAUGAAACUCUGCCCUGCCCACGGGGACACAGCCAGCUGGGGAGACAAGAUGGGACACGCACACGAAGCUUAAAAACACCACCAAGAGCAAGGCUUCAGCUGUGGCUCUCCAAAGGAGUGGCAGAGAUGAUCGACCUGUUCCCCUGGAUUGUCCAAGAAGAAGCCACCGGGACAGCUGGUGACCCUCCCUUUCCAUUCGUCGGUCAGAGCUGGCUUCCCUCCACCUGCUCCAGCCACGGUCGGCGGCCCCUCCUGACGUUAGCAUCUCCAUUUCUGCCGCUGAGUUUUCUUUCAUUUCUUGGUUGGUCCCUGGCUUGUAUAAAUUUUCUUUUCUUUCUUUUUUUUAACCUGAUGAAUUUUUUCACAUCAUGUGGUCGUUUGGAAUGCUGUCUGGUGGGUCUCUCCUUUUACAGCCAUUCCGCAGUAUCAGGGGGAUUCAUUCCAGGACCCCCAGAGGUACCAACAUCCAUAUGAUGUAGUAUUUUCAUAAAACCUACGCAUAUCCUCCUAUGUACUUUAUUAUUAUUAUUAUUUUAAUCUUUUUAGGGAUACACUUGAGGCAUAUGGAGGUUCCCAGGCUGGGGGUCGAGUCGGAGCUACAGCUGCCACCCUACACCACAGCCACAGCAAUUCGGGGUUCUAGACGCAUCUGUGACCUUCACCACAGCUCACGGCAAUGCACAGCAACACUGGAUCCUUCACUCACUGAGCAAGGCCAGGGAUCAAACCUACGUCCUCAUGGCUGCUUGUCAGAUUCGUUUCCACUGAGCCACCGAGGGGAACGCCUGUGGUCUUAGGCUUUAAGUCAACUCUAGUUGGCUUAUACUACAUCAUACAAUGUAAAUGCUGUGUAAACAGCUGUGCAUACAAUGUAAAUGCUUUGUAAAUAGUUGAAUCGAAUUUUGCUUUGGGGAACUUUCUGGAAUUAAAAAAAAAAUUAUUUUUGAUCUGUGGUUGGUUGAAUCUGCGGAUGUGGAACCACAGAUACCAAGGGCCAUUGGAGCUGAACUGCC